rnacentral:hammerhead_ribozyme from 1 species
AUUCAGCUGAUGAGUCCCAAAUAGGACGAAACGUGCAUCAAACUGGAU